rnacentral:tRNA from 1 species
GCGGGAGUAACUCAGCGGUAGAGUCCCUGCCUUCCAAGCAGGUUGUCGCGGGUUCGAAUCCCGUCUCCCGCUCCA